ACAGAUGGUUUAUCAUACUACCAUCUGCCAGAGAAUUACAAGUGAAAAACUUAAAACUCUAAGGACUUGACGGUGCCCCACACCAGCCUAGAGGAGCCUGUCCUAUAAUCGAUACCCCACGCUCCACCUCACCCCCCCUUGCCAAACCCCGCCUAUAUACCGCCGUCGUCAGCCCACCUACUGAUAGCAACAAAAGUCAGCAUAAUAGCACCCCGCUAGCACGUCAGGUCAAGGUGUAGCUAAUGGGGGGGACUAAGAUGGGCUACAUUUGCUAACCUAUAGCAAACCCACUGAAAGCCCCAUGAAACAAAGGGCCAGAAGGCGGAUUUAGCAGUAAACACCGGCAAGACCUGCCCAUUUGAACACCGCUCUGGGGCGCGUACACACCG
rnacentral:rRNA from 1 species